CGUGUGUCUGUUUAGUAGUGAUCUAUCAAUACCGACUACAAAACACUUUACUAGUGGAAAUGUGCUUAUCUGCAAUUACCAUUGUCAAGUUGUCUGCCACCGUAAUAUAAUAGUGUGCUCUAAUAAAUAUUUCACCAAGGUGCCAUUUACAACUUUUUCAUUAGUGGGCUAGUAUAGAUGUCCAAACAGCUAUUGUCUUUAUAAGAUGGUUUUUCUAUAGUACUAUUUUUCUUUUUUGUGGUUAGUUCUUGUGAAAGUCCUAGUUGGACUUUCU